CAAAGCAUUCCCAGCACCGCAGAAGGACCAAUUCUCUUACAGUGCUAAUGUAAUCCUCGAGUAAAUCAUGCUGAUCAUACACAAGCAAUCUGACAAAAGGUCCACUUAAAGUGACAUAAGAAAGAGACAGGUAACCAGUGCUGGUGAUGGACCUCCCCUAUUACAACAGGGGGUCAGAGUUCUCAGAGUGUGAUCCAGAAUGGCUGGACAGCCACCUUGGCAAUUCUGGUUCUUUGAUUAUUUUAAGGGAAGAUCUGGAUUUCCUGGACUUUCGCCCAGUGUGAUGAUGUCUCCUUUAGAAGUGGCGUCUAAUGGUUCACACACAGCUCCAGAGACAGCUGAACACCGUUAUGACAGCAUAUCCUUUUUCACUCAUCAAGUGCCCAUUUGUGUUCAUGGUCUUCAUUAUGCCGUGAGGUCUUAUAUGGUACAAAAACAGGAUUUUUUUUAAAGAAUUCCAUUCCUGGGUCAUCAAAUGAGAAUCCUUCUUGCUCACUCCAAAUUAAAUGGAGAAUACAUUU